rnacentral:ncRNA from 1 species
CACCGUGGUGACCCUGAAGCCCGAAACCGUCAGCCUGACCCGUGAACUGCCGGGCCGUACCGCGGCCUUCCAGGUCGCCGAGAUCCGCCCGCAGGUCAACGGCAUCGUGGCCCGUCGGCUGUUCACCGAAGGCGCCAUGGUCAAGGCCGGGCAGCCGCUGUACCAGAUCGA